rnacentral:rRNA from 1 species
UGGGGAAUAUUGGACAAUGGGCGAAAGCCUGAUCCAGCCAUGCCGCGUGUGUGAAGAAGGUCUUCGGAUUGUAAAGCACUUUAAGUUGGGAGGAAGGGCAGUAAGCGAAUACCUUGCUGUUUUGACGUUACCGACAGAAUAAGCACCGGCUAACUCUGUGCCAGCAGCCGCGGUAAUACAGAGGGUGCAAGCGUUAAUCGGAAUUACUGGGCGUAAAGCGCGCGUAGGUGGUUCGUUAAGUUGAAUGUGAAAGCCCCGGGCUCAACCUGGGAACUGCAUCCAAAACUGGCGAGCUAGAGUAGGGCAGAGGGUGGUGGAAUUUCCUGUGUAGCGGUGAAAUGCGUAGACAUAGGAAGGAACACCAGUGGCGAAGGCGACCACCUGGGCUCAUACUGACACUGAGGUGCGAAAGCGUGGGGAGCAAACAGG